GGGUUUAAUGUGAUUUUAUUAUUAGGUAAAUUUUAGUUACUUUAUAUAGAUAAAAAUAUACAAUAUUGCUUUAAAUUUUUAAGUGUAUACUUGAUCGUCAUCAUAUUCACAUACAGUUUAGAAGCCUGUUUUUCCCCCACUAAACAGUUCAUCCAGUAACAUGUGGAAGAGACUAACAAAAAUGAUUUAGAUGAAGACUUUUCAUGAAAGGUUUCAAUGUAAAAGUGGAAUAUUAAUCUGGUCUAAAUCUUUAGUGAUUCCUCCUGCUACAAACAAAUUAUGAAAUGUUUUAGACAAAUUUAUUUUUUUCAACACUUGAAUUCAUUGUCCAGGUUCAAAAUUCUGUUGGAAAAUGCAUAAAACUGACUUAGCUGUUGUGUCUAAAGUCACUUUUAUAUACACUGAUUUACUAAAAAAAGAAAUGUAUUUUAAUACUACAUUUCAGUUUGGGAUUUCAUUGUUUUUAUAUAAUACAUGCAAAACAUGUCUAUGCCUUUCAGCUGUCCUAUUUAAGUAAAAGAAAGGCAGAUGGUGGCACUUUUAAGUCACCCAAGGAUGGUAAAGUUAUUAGUGGUCUGAUUAAUUUGCUUUCUUAAAAAGACACAGUGAUAAAAUAUGUUAAGACCCGAACAAGUUAUUUAUGUGCAUAAAUAAGGUAUGCACUAUUUUUAAAUGAAAGACUGAAAACAUUUUACAAAUAUUGUUGUUCAUUAUAAACUAUACAAUGCACCAUUUUUUUCACUUAUACCAAUACUUUGCACCAAACAUUGCUAUAUUCAAUCUUAACACUC
rnacentral:lncRNA from 1 species